GAAACUGUAGCUCAGCAGCAGAGCCUCUGCUUUGCAUGCAAAAGGUCCCAGGUUCAAGCCUUGGGUUCUCCA
rnacentral:tRNA from 1 species